UACGGAGGGUGCAAGCGUUAUCCAGAUUCACUGGGUUUAAAGGGUGCGUAGGUGGGUUGGUAAGUCAGUGGUGAAAUCUCCGAGCUUAACUUGGAAACUGCCAUUGAUACUAUCAGUCUUGAAUAUUGUGGAGGUCAGCGGAAUAUGUCAUGUAGCGGUGAAAUGCUUAGAUAUGACAUAGAACACCAAUUGCGAAGGCAGCUGGCUACGCAUAUAUUGACACUGAGGCACGAAAGCGUGGGGAUCAAACAGG
rnacentral:rRNA from 1 species